ensembl:lncRNA
GACAAUUUGGAUCCAGUUGUGCAGCCUGUCUUGAAACAGAGAUCUGGCAGGCCUGGGCCUGCCCUCCCGUGAGGCUGCAGCCGUGGGCCCUGGCAUGCACUUGCUCUGGCCCCAUGGCCCCCACUUCUUGCUGCUGGGUCACAGCCAGUCCACUUGGUUCCUUCCCUGACUGGUCCGGCCCCUGUGGGCAUCUGAGUUCUUGAGCUGUGGCUGAUGGUGGCAGAGGCAGCUUCAGGGAAUUCUCUGGGUCCCAAGCCUGUUCCAAAAGCAACAGUGUGGACCGAUGACUCACACCUGCUGAAACUGUCUCCACUGGGCACUGUGUAAAACCCACGAACCGAGGCCCAACCCCAGAAAGGAGAGGGGACGCCGAGAAGGACGGGAGUUUACUUUAUGCUGGCACAGCAAAGUGGAGGGCAAGAGUCGGAGAUUCGGUGGGUUACAGAGAAUUUUUAAAAACUGGUAUAUUUCUUGAGCAACCCAACCUGUGGAUGAGAUGGGAGGCUGCGCCGCACAGGUUCACUGGGUACAGUUCACCCCCCAAAGACGCAAAUCCCGUGCUUAGGAGGGCUUUAUCGCAUGACAGGCACAGUGGUGAGCCCUUUCUGUUCUCACACUUGAGUGUGCAUCAGUCACCUGGCAGGCCUGUUAAAACAGAUUGCUGGGCGCACCCGAGUGUCUGAGUCAGCGGAUCUAGAGUGGAGCCCCAGAAUUGUUGCCUUUCUAACAAGCUCCCAGGUGAUGCUGCUGCUGCUGACACUGGGGACGACUCUUCAAGAACCACUCAUUUAGAGACUCAUCUUCAGCAGUUCUCACCAUCUUAGUAGAUGGGGAAACUGAGGCACAAAGCGCUAAGUAAAUGGCUCAAGGCUCUACAGCUGGUGAGUGGCAGAUCUGGGAUUCAGUGGAUGGACGUGGCCUCCAAGGCAUCGUGAUGGAGAGUGGAAAGGACAACAUGGCCCCUGCAUUCUUGGAGCUGACAUACCCCUGGGGGGGGGUGGUGAAUGACAGUAAGCAAUUAGACAGAUAUACUAGAUGCUUUCAGAUUGUGACAGUGCUUUGAAGGCAUCCCCGAGCAGGUGGCAUUUUAAGUAAAAAGAUGUGGCUAUCCAGAGGAAGAAUGAUUCAGCCAGAGGGGACAGCAAGUGCAAAGGCCCUGAGGUAGGAACUGGCUUGGCUUGCUGAAGGAACAGCAAGAGCUUGAGGAGUAAAGGGAGUGUGGGGGGAGAUGAACAGGAGAGGCGGCUGUGACAAGGCAUCUGGAUGGUAUUAAGAACAACGGGCAGCUGCUGGAGGAUGUUGAGCAGGAGAGUAACUGGGUUUGAGCUGCAUUUUGCUGUAACGGCUCUGGCUGCUGGGUGGAGAAAGGACGGUGAGGGGUUGGAGGGGAUCAGGGAAGCCGGUCAGGAGGACAUUGCUUGUGCUUGUGCAGGCAGAAGUGAAGAUGUGCGGGCCAGGAGGGGAGCAGUGGAAUCGGUGUGAAGUGCAUGGAUCUGGGGAAUGAGUUAGGCAUAGAGUGAUGGAAUUUGCCCUGGCUAAGAGGUGGGGUGGGGGUCGAGGACAGGCCACCCUACUGUUGGCCGGCCUGGGGCAGGAGCACAAAAGGAGGCUGCAUACCCUGGUGUAAUCUUCAGAAGUCAGACCACUAGUAAAUGAAAUAUAUGCUGCCCCCCUGUCCCGGAAGUGUCUCUUUGUAGGGACCUGGGAGGCCAGGCUCACGUUGGGACUCCUGUGUCUCCUUGGGUUCUCCUGCAACGUGGUAGCCAAGGGAGGCUGGGGCAGUGUCCUCUGAGGUGUGGGGCCCUCUGGCCUGGCUGUAGGAGCUGCACUGGGCUGGGGAAAGGGAGGGAUCAGACAAGCCUAGGUUUUCGGCUUGAGUAAGUUUUAGCCCAAGCUCACCCGCCAUUGUGAAGAUUAAAAGUGUUUUUUUAAGGCUUCCCUCCUCCGAGGCUGAGAUCCUUGCCCUUCCUCUUCUCCCUCAAGCCUCUGCUUGUGGAGGUUUAAUGCAGGUGGACCUUUGCGACCGACUCUGUGACCUCAGCUGGUUUCUAGGCCUCUUCUAGCCUUGGGAUACUCAGCUGUGUAUUGGACCACUGAUACCUUCUUUCUACCUGCCAGCCACUUAGUGAGAGAGACAAUGCCCGAAAAAUGCAUGAGGCAGAGACAGCUGUACAGUCACCAGAAUCCCUUCCCUUUUCCCUCUGGGCACAUGGCCUGCGUUUCCCGUCCCCCAUGCUGUUGAAUGUGGCCAUGUGAGUGAGUUGUGGCCGGUGGAGUGUUGGCAUAGGUGAUGUCGUCUCUUGCAAACCAGGCCUACUAGAACCUUCCCCAUGAGACCCUUCCUGCUCUGGCCCUGCCCCUGUCUGCUGGCUGCAUGUGAGGCUCCAGCAGAAGGCUCCGGUACCUUAGAACAGGGCUUGGCAAACUCUGGCCCGCGAGCUGGAUGCUGCCUGCUGCCUGCUUUUGUAAGUGAACUUUUACUGGAACACAGCCCCAUCCAUUCAUUUGUGCAUCGUCUUUUGCUAUACAUUUGUGCUGCAAUAGCAGAGUGACGUAAUCGUGAGAGACUCUAGGACCCACAAAGCCAGAAAUGUUCUCCAUGUGGCCCUUCAUAGACAAGUUUGCUGAGCCUUGUCCUAGAAGAUGGCAGAGCUGCCGGAUGGGAGGAGCUUGUCUCCCUGAGUGACCACAGGGAAGGCCACGUGCCUGACGGGCAUCUCCAUGCUGGACUCUCCAUGAGUGAGAAAUAGCAGUUUAAGUGUGAACGUCCAGUCUCACAUGGUUGUUUGUUACGGGAGCUGGUAUCACUAACCCUAACUGAUACAGUGCCUGGUACAUAGUGAGCCAAGAGCAAACGCUCGCUUCCUCCGGUCCCCAUCAUUUCACACUCUCCAUAAACUCUCGUAUUUGAAAAAGCUCAGAAGAAUGGGAGAGCUUUGUUUAGGCUUCCUUUCCCCUCCGAGCCUUUGCACAACUGUCCCCAACCCUUCUGCCAAGAACAUUCUUUGCCGUUCCUCCCCCCACCCCCCACUGUCUCCCACUGAGCUUCCCGGCUCCCAGGUAGCCACCACUGCUGCCAGGCAGCCUUCCCCUCCCGCUGCGUCCGCAAGACGAGGUAGGGUGCCUCUGCCAUGUGCUCCUAAAUAGCCGUGGAGGCCAGUGUGGUGGCGUGGGCUCAGGCCGCUGGGCUUCAAGUCCUGGCCUGCCACUUAUAAGUCGUGAGACUUUGGGCAAGCGGCUUAACCUGUCUGUGUCGCAAUUUCCUUAGCGGUAAAAUGGCAAUAAUAUCAUCUGUCUCAUGGUGUUGUGGGAAUUAAGUGAAUCGAAGCGCUUGGAAAAAUGUCUGCUACUUGGCAAGGGCUGAAGGAAUGUUAGCUGGAUUCUUCCUGUCAUUCUUUUUUUUUUUUGAAGAUUGGCACCUGAGCUAACCUCUAUCGCCAAUCUUUUUUUCUUCUUCUCCUUCCUCUUCUCUCCAAAGCACCCCCGCCCCGCCCCUGUACGUAGUUGUAGAUUCUAGUUGUAGGUCCCUCUGGUUGUGCUAUGUGGGACGCCGCCUCAGCACGGCUUGAUGAGCGGUGCCAUGUCCAUGUCCAGGAUCUGAACCAGCGAAACCCUGGGCUGCUGAAGUGGAGCGUGCAAACGUAACCACUCGGCCGCAGGGCGCCCUGUCUUCCUGCCAUUCUUAUUGCUGUGCCUGUCCCGGCGCGGCUCCCACGCCCCCACGAGAGCGCUUCCCUUGGCCUGUGAGAUGCUGCCGUGUGGCAGGCUCUGGCACACUGUGCGUGGGGAGUGAGUCCUCUGGGCUUGGGAUGCAGGCUCUGCAGACACGUUGCCGGGCAGCGUCUGGGAGAAGUUUGGGGACUAAGGUGAAGCCGUGGAGCCUGAGCAGUGUCUGCUGGGAGGAGACAGGCUGUAAGCCUUGGAACCCACUCGUAUCAGUCAAGGCUCUUUGUUGCAAACCACAGAGGCCUCUCCGGCAAUCUGAGUUAGAAGGGGAAUAAAAAGUGAUUCCAUAGAUCACAGACCUUCCAGAGGGCUCCCCCCAGACAUGGAAGCUGGACGGGCAGGAGGAAAGCUUAAACUAGACCAUCCGACGGUCCCGGUGGAGACUCUCUCCCUGCCAUCCCCAGCCGGAGGCACCCAUUACACGGGGUUCCCACCGUAAACUCUGCAGCAGCUGCUCUGUAGGCAGGAUGCCUCUCCUGUCCUGUUGGGUGUCCCCUGGACAGAUGGCACAGGCGAGCAUGCGGAGUCUGGGAAAAGGAGCCUCUUGAUGCCAACCCCACCCACCCCUGCCUCAUGGAAUCCUGGGGACCAGAUCCUUUAUUUCAGCCCCUUCUGCUAACAGCACUGGUGGAUAAUAAUACUGAUAACUGACAUUUCUGAAUCCCCGCAGGGCACCAAGCACUGAGCCCUGUGUUUUACAGCGAGGUCUCCCAUUAUCUUCACAAAAAUCCUAGGAAAUAGGUGCUAUUAUGUGCUUCAUUUUACAUAUGAUGGGACCAAGGCUUAGAGAGGUCAAGUAACUUAUCCAGGGUCACAUAGCACAACAGAGAAUUCAAAUCCAAGUGAACUCCAGAGCCCAGAUUCUUGACUGCCACCUCAUACUGCCGUCUUUACUCUCCUGGGAAGCUGCUCGGUGAUUCAGACAAUGGAAAGAAGGAGGGCCUCUGUGCAUUCAUGAAACCUGGUCUGGGCCAAUCUUCUCCUCAGGAAGGGUGUUCCACAGGGAGACGUCAAAAUUGUGCAUUCCAGCUGAAGCAGUGGUGUGGGGGGAUCCCUAGCCUGGGGGACAAUGAGCUCCUGUCAACAAGGCUGAUGACAUCAGUGCUCCAGGAUUCUUCUCCCCGCCCCCCCACUCCAUCCUCCUUUGUCUUCCCUCACUUUCCAUUGUCACAACCUCCAUCAGCACCACCGUCCCUAUUCAUCACGCUCUGCCAUUAUCAGCACCGGCCCACUGUCCUUGUUCUAUUAUGACCACAAUGAUGACCAUCGCCUGUGGCACUACUGCUGUCACCAUACACUACUGUCACCAAGCCACUGCCGCCAUCACCAAACCAUCAAUGCUACCAUGUCUGCCAUCGUUAUGACACCAUCACCAGCACUACUAUCACCACCAUCAAUUCCACCAGCACUGUCCUCAUCCCCACCCCUGUUCUGUGAGCCUGUUCACCAUUAUCAUUCACCAGGAUCCACCACGGUCACCACCACUUGACUAUCCUUGUCACCCCGCCCCCCCCCCGCACUGCCUUUAUUGCCCCCAUCACUGAUAUUUUCAUCACCACCAAUAUGUCAAUAUGUCACAGAUAUUUUGAGUCUCUCCUGUAUGUUAAGCUUUUGUUAAAUGCCAAGAUGUCAAGAUGUGAACAUGAUUAACAAAGGACUAGGAUUCGCAUUACCAUCAUCAGUUACUAGUGGAAACUCAUUACUGCCAUAUUAAUUGCCAUCUCUGCCUAAAUAGUUGCUUUGCAAAGAACAGCAUCUUUUAGAAUCUGUGAGCUCAUCUACAACAUGUCCUGGAACCCAGCUCCGACUUUCCGUCCCAUCUCCCUCCCCGUCCCACGGGUCCCACUCACGAAUUUCUUGUUGGCUUUGCCCAGGGGUCACCAGAGGGAACUUUUCCCACUCUCCCAUCCUUUUCCAGGCCUCUUCUGCCUGUCUGACCAACUGGAUGCUGGACUCUCAUGCUUCCCAGCUCCAAAGCGGUGAUAUAAUUAUUAUCAUGUGUUAAGUGGCCUUAGGUAAAUGUUACUUGGCUGAAAGCAGAAGAUGGGAGAAAUCCACUUCCCAUCGCCAAGGUUCUGUGGGGCUCUGGAAGCCUUUGUCUUCUGGAGACUGGGUGGGGAUUCUGAGGAAAGUGAUCUUUCCUCAGAACCAGGCCGCAGAGAGGGAAGGGGCGCCAAGCUGGGCCUCAGCUUAGCCCCCAAUGGCCCGUCAGAAGGAGGCGGGUUUCAGUCGGUCGUGAGAGCCUCUGGUGGGCGGAUGGGCUCUGCUCGGUGGGCUGUGCUCCCCAGCCGCUGUGGCUCCGUCUGCAUUGUACUCUGAUGUGCUCCACUACUUCCUAACUGUGCGGUCAUGGGCAGCUUACUGGACUUUUUUGUGCCUCAGUUUCCCCAACUGUAAAACAGAGAUAAUCACAUCUCUGCUGCUUGUGCUUCUGCUUGUGCCGAGGGGGGCGUGAGAGCUCCCACCUAAAGCCGGAGCAGAGUAAUCGCCCAUAGUCAAGGUCAUGGUAGGAGCAACAGCACAACCACUGACACUCAUGCUACAAAUUAUGACAAUGACUAGCGGCUUUAGGGGCCCAGGGUUCAAUAGCACGACGGCCAUUCUAACUCACAUUGAGUGAAUUAAAAACGGUCAUUUCCACUGUUCCUGUGGCUCUCACAGCCACGCAGCUGCCCUCCUUCAGUGGGGCUUGACAGAGGCAGUGCAGAGAUUUGGGUCCAAAUCCUGAUUCUGCCAGUUACUAGCUGUUUGACCUUCAGCAAGUCCCUUAACCUCUCUGUGCCUCAGAAGUUAUACAAUGGGGAUAAUCGUAGUGAUGACCUCACAGAGCUGUGGUGCUGCUUAAAUACUUACGUGCUUGGCACAAGGUCAGCGUGCGGCAAGUGCUUCCUGUUAUCAUUAUUAAUUAGUCAGUCAACCAAACAAAUGUGUCAGGCAUUCCAGUGGAUUCCAAGUGGAUUCAAAUAUGUUGAAAUGUGCCAGGAACACCAGUGGAGGUGAGCCUCCCCUCCGUGUUUGCUUAAGGCCUGAGAGGCGUCCGGAAAGCACAUCCCUCAGGAGCAGGGCCCGGGCUGGGGUGAGGCCAGGAGGCCCCCGGGACCCCAACUGAAGGAGGCCCUCUCGCUCCACAAGCGGGAGACUGAGUGCCUCCUUAAACUGUGCGUCCUGAGCACUUGCUUGUCCUGACCCAGGCAGGAAGCCAGACUUGCCCACGGCUCCAGUGGUCCAGUGGUCGGGACCAGGGUGCUGAGCAUCAGAAGGCCUUGCAGCAGCCAGCAAGGGGUGUAGAAAGAAAGGCGUCACUACAGUGCUGCCACCGAUGUUGGUCACGCUCUGAGAUCCCUUCGAACCCCUUGGGCAGUUGUCCUGCCUCCCAAGGUAGAAGCCAGGAGGGCGGAGUGGCAGGCUCCCGCCGCUGGGGCACAGACCAAGCUCUCAGGACAGUGGGAGGAAGGUCCUGGCCGGAGCGCCCGUGGCCCGGCCCUGGCGGCGUGGACGGCAGUGGUCUUCUGUGUGUAUUCUUGCAGGGUAAUCUGCACACUGUUCCUGGCUUUGUGGGCUGAGCUUGACUCUGGCCCUUCUGGAGACUCCGUGAAUGUCGCCUGAUGGCUGCCUGUGUCAGCUAACCUUGCUAGAGUGGGGCCUGUUGCAGGCACCCAAGAGCCCUGGCUGGCACAGACGAGAUGAGGCCUCGCGGAAGCCAGGGCAGCACAGGCCUGGAGCUGGGAGCCGGAGGGCAGCGGCCCGCUCCUUCCUUCCCCUCUCAUCUCUGUGUCUCUGUCCAUGCACACGGGUGUGGUUUCUCAGAUUUUCUGCUCACGUGGGGGCCGUGGUUACCUGGGCCAGCCCUCACAGAAAUAGACCCCGUGUCUCCUGGCCCCGGCACCAAAUUCUUGUGAGAAAUACAUCUGAAUGGCCCACUGCAGGCCAGCUGCCCAUGCCUGGUCCCGUCGCUGUGUCCAGGGAGCGGAGAUACACUGUAUGCACACUCUUGCUGGGUCCCCUCCCUUUGGCAGUUCUCAGGAAGGAGAGUUCCCUGCGAGCUGGCAGGUAUCCCUCAGGAUCCACCAGAGGCAAGAAAAUUUCUAUGGCUGAAGCCAAGGAGGCCGUUCAGAUCUUUCUGGUGGCCCCCGCCCUGUGGGGCUGGUCUCAGUGCAGGGUUGGACAUGGCUGUAAGUCAAACCGGAGAGAGCUGUUUCAUUCUGGAACACGCUGGGCCCAAGCAGCUCUGACAUGAGGCUGCUAUAACAGUGAAUUAAAAAAAAAAAAAGGACUUUUCUUACCCUGCUUCUCCCUCCCUGCCACAGAGCACACAGCAGCGACAUCUGGAGGUCCGGGUGGUGGGUACACGGGUCCUGGCGAGGGAGCGGUCACUCCCAGUGGGUGCAGUCUCUUUGGGAGGACAUGGGGAUACUCUUUGGUGAUCCUAUAAAUACCACUGAUGGGAGAAUAGGACUCUUGGGGCACGGUCCUUGGAAAAGCAGGUAGAUGUGAGUCACUGCUGCUAACGGGCAAGUGGCCCGGGGACCGCAGGUGACGACGUCCUUCCUCAGUGCCUACCGUGCUGGCCGGGGAGGCGCCCACCCUCCAGGCCCCAGGAUCCCAGGCAGUGGGCUAUUCUGCUUUAUCCACAGGAGCACACUCAGCUCUAAAUGCAUGCAGAAGUCCAAGUGGGAAGAACAAGAAAGCCUUUGGGUUGGUUUUACAGAAUCAAAGUAAAAUGUACUGUUUCAUAGACUCUAGACUUUUCUGAGGGAGAGAAUCCCCUGCUCUUAUAAAUAAGAGACUUAAUUCAUGGGUACUCACAACACCCCCGGGGACGGCCCUUCCAUCUGUGAAGUCCGUGCACGUGGGAGGGGAAGCGGACCCCCUGGCCCUUCCUGUCGGGGGCCUGCCUGCUGCCAACUGGAGAGUCUGGAGAUGCCCCCGGCCUUGUCGUGCGUCCUGGUCUCUGCCCCCGCCGCCCCUCUUCCAUUUGAGUCUCCAAAGGCAGUGGACGCCUUCUCCUGCCUCUGAGCGUUUAGGCAUGCUGAACUUCUUGCCUUUUCUGCGCUCUUGUCCACUUGGAUCGCUCCGGCCAUUCUUCCAGAGCCCUCCUCAAGCGUCCUCUCUGCAGACACUCGAGCUCACCUGCCCAGGGUCUACUCCCCGUUCUGAGGACAGAACUCUAAUGUGUGUAAGUCUGGGGGUGUCGACAGGAUGCUCUCCCUUGCAGGGAGGGAGGCCCUGUGACGUCGGCAUCGCCCUCCUCGCCAGUGCUCCGGAGUGAGUGUGAUCACGGCCACAGUGACCUCCCAGCAGACUCGUAGGUGACCUGAGACGGCAUUUUGCCAGCCUCUGGGGCUCCGGCACACACGCCCUG